rnacentral:rRNA from 1 species
AAGGGAGAGGAACACGUGGGUACCUACCCUCAGACUCAGGAUAGCCAUGGGAAACUAUGGGUAAUACUGAAUAAUGUCUUCGGACCAAAGGUGUGAUUCCGUCCGAGGAGGGGCCCGCGUCCUAUUAGCUAGUUGGUGAGGUAACGGCUCACCAAGGCGAAGAUGGGUACGGGAUGUGAGAGCAUGAUCCCGCUCAUUGGGACUGAGACACUGCCCAGACACCUACGGGUGGCUGCAGUCGAGAAUCUUCGGCAAUGGGGGAAACCCUGACCGAGCGACGCCGCGUGCGAGAUGAAGGCCUUCGGGUUGUAAAUCGCUGUCGUAGGGGAGGAAAUAUUGGUGGGUUCUCCCAUCAGUUUGACCUAUCCUAGGAGGAAGGACGGGCUAAGUUCGUGCCAGCAGCCGCGGUAAGACGAACCGUCCAAACGUUAUUCGGAAUCACUGGGCUUAAAGGGUGCGUAGGCGGUCCGGGAAGUUGGGUGUGAAAGCCCUCGGCUCAACCGAGGAACUGCGCCCAAAACUGCCGGGCUGGAGGGAGACAUAGGUGAGCGGAACCUAGGGUGGAGCGGUGAAAUGCGUUGA